CUCAGGUCACAGUCUUUAUAAGGCUGUAGAAAGACAAUGCAAAUAUAGGGUAACUUAGGAGAAACAUGUCGAUUGUAUUAAAGCAUAUAUAACUUUAACAUUCAUUGUACUCAACAGGAAAAAGAGGAUUAGUGUUGAAGGCUUGAUUCAAAAUUUAAGCUGAGAGUAGAUGCACUCAUAUCAAGUGUCACCCUUAGUAAUAAAUGGCCCAUAUACAGGGGCCAGACACAGGGCUUGUGGCAAGAAUAAGCACAGAGCACAAGACACGCGAUACAUGGGACAUUUUCCGCAAUCCUGCCAUAGCCCACAGCAUAU